rnacentral:rRNA from 1 species
CUCAGUUCGGAUCGGAGUCUGCAACCCGACUCCGUGAAGCUGGAUUCGCUAGUAAUCGCGCAUCAGCCAUGGCGCGGUGAAUACGUUCCCGGGCCUUGUACACGCCGCCCGUCAAGCCAUGGAAGCCGGGAGUGCCUGAAGUAUGCAACCGCAAGGAGCGUCCUAAGGUAAAACCGGUGACUGGGGCUAAGUCGUAACAAGGUAGC